GUUCCUGGCACAGUUGGCACUAUAUAAGCUUUGUUUAUUCUUUAUUAUUAUCAUCAGAAAAGAAACGGUUGUACAUCAGCUUUCAACAUUUCAGCAUCUUUAUAAUUCAUGCCACAAUGAUUCUUACUGUGGUAAAGAAGAGCCUCGUCUGGAUCUUUCUCUUUUUUACUCUAAGUGCACAGGAUCACAAUUUGGACCCACAAACCCUUGCACGUAUCGUGAAAACCUUUGAGAGCAAGUUGGGUAAAUUAGGCCAAUAUGCCAUAGCCUUCAGAGUUGAGAAGGAGAACUGUCUUGCACACUCCAAAUAUUCGGGCAACGACUUGAUAACGGAUGAAGUGAAAAACAGAAUUCAGAACAACGAGGUCUAUGUGAGCAAUAACCUCAUAGCUGCGAAAGCUCUGAAAGGUAAAAAAACAGAGCAUUCAGAGUUUCGCCUGAAAAAUCAUCUGAAAGAUAUCUUAAAUGUGAAAGACAAAUGUGUGAUUUUUUUCACUGUAAAUUCACCCUGUUUGACAACAUGUUUAGCAGACAAUGGAAAAUAUACCAUUAAAGGUAGCCUUACAAUGUUACAAACGUAUCAUGGAAUUAAAGCCCUUGCUUUUAAAAAGGUCUGGAAACAGGAUACAAUAGAAGCACUGAAAGCAAAACUGAAGGCAAUAGCACAUAAUUUGCCAUCUUAUCAGUGUGAAAGCAACGCUGGAUGUAAACGCCUCUUUGCCCGAAAGUCACAGACACAUGAAAAUGACAUGACUAUUUUAAACCUUUAAUUUCUAUUAUUGUUUAAUGUGUAUUGUGUAAUAUUCAUACACUGUAACACUGCUUAUGUUCUGCUGACAACCUUGUUAUAGU